AUUGAACGCUGGCGGCAGGCCUAACACAUGCAAGUCGAGCGGAUGAAGGGAGCUUGCUCCUGGAUUCAGCGGCGGACGGGUGAGUAAUGCCUAGGAAUCUGCCUGGUAGUGGGGGAUAACGUCCGGAAACGGGCGCUAAUACCGCAUACGUCCUGAGGGAGAAAGUGGGGGAUCUUCGGACCUCACGCUAUCAGAUGAGCCUAGGUCGGAUUAGCUAGUUGGUGGGGUAAAGGCCUACCAAGGCGACGAUCCGUAACUGGUCUGAGAGGAUGAUCAGUCACACUGGAACUGAGACGCGGUCCAGACUCCUACGGGAGGCAGCAGUGGGGAAUAUUGGACGAUGGGCGAAAGCCUGAUCCAGCCAUGCCGCGUGUGUGAAGAAGGUCUUCGGAUUGUAAAACACUUUAAGUUGGGAGGAAGGGCAGUAAGUUAAUACCUUGCUGUUUUGACGGUACCAACAGAAUAAGCACCGGCUAACUUCGUG
rnacentral:rRNA from 1 species